AGGUGACAUGUGUAUGAAUGGUAUCACAAUUAAAAUAACCGGGGUAAGUUGUUAUCAUGCUUUAUAAUUGUUAUAAAAGGUAUGAUGUAUGAUUAUGGACUUAAUACACUGAUGUGAUGGAUGUAUGUAUGAAUAUUUUUAUGUUGGCUGAUUGUAUAGAUGUAUCUACAAUAGUUGCAAUAUAGGCUGGGUGCCCUUGAUGCAUUAUAUUUUUAGCUAUACCUUACUGUUCUAUCCUUUAUAAUGUUUCCAACUAC
rnacentral:lncRNA from 1 species